CCUACGGGAGGCUGCAGUGGGGAAUAUUGGACAAUGGGCGAAAGCCUGAUCCAGCCAUGCCGCGUGUGUGAAGAAGGCCUUCGGGUUGUAAAGCACUUUCAGUGGGGAAGAAAGCCUUGGGGCUAAUACCCUCGAGGAAGGACAUCACCCACAGAAGAAGCACCGGCUAACUCCGUGCCAGCAGCCGCGGGAAUACGGAGGGUGCGAGCGUUAAUCGGAAUUACUGGGCGUAAAGCGCGCGUAGGCGGUCUGAUAAGCCGGUUGUGAAAGCCCCGGGCUCAACCUGGGAACGGCAUCCGGAACUGUCAGGCUAGAGUGCAGGAGAGGAAGGUAGAAUUCCCGGUGUAGCGGUGAAAUGCGUAGAGAUCGGGAGGAAUACCAGUGGCGAAGGCGGCCUUCUGGACUGACACUGACGCUGAGGUGCGAAAGCGUGGGUAGCAAACAGGAUUAGAUACCCGAGUAGUC
rnacentral:rRNA from 1 species